rnacentral:rRNA from 1 species
AACGAACGCUGGCGGCAUGCCUAACACAUGCAAGUCGAACGAGACCUUCGGGUCUAGUGGCGCACGGGUGCGUAACGCGUGGGAACCUGCCCUUAGGUUCGGAAUAACUCCCCGAAAGGGGUGCUAAUACCAGAUAAUGUCUUCGGACCAAAGAUUUAUCGCCUUUGGAUGGGCCCGCGUUGGAUUAGCUAGUUGGUAGGGUAAAAGCCUACCAAGGCGACGAUCCAUAGCUGGUCUGAGAGGAUGAUCAGCCACACUGGGACUGAGACACGGCCCAGACUCCUACGGGAGGCAGCAGUGGGGAAUAUUGGACAAUGGGCGAGAGCCUGAUCCAGCAAUGCCGCGUGAGUGAUGAAGGCCUUAGGGUUGUAAAGCUCUUUUACCCGGGAUGAUAAUGACAGUACCGGGAGAAUAAGCUCCGGCUAACUCCGUG